rfam:Phytophthora infestans T30-4 supercont1.52 genomic scaffold, whole genome shotgun sequence.
GUAGACGGCCAUCUUAGGCUGAAAGACACCAUAUCCCGUCUGCUCUGUGAGAGUUAAGCAGCCUCAAGCUCGGGUAGUACUCGGGUCGGUGUAGAGCGCGGACGCGGGGAAGUCCGGGUGCUGUCUACU